rnacentral:lncRNA from 1 species
UGCCGCUAGGCCUCGGGACAGAGCCUCCCGCGCGGUAGGCCCCUCCUUGCUCGUCCCUGCGCCGCCGCCGGCACCGCCCCCACGCUCGCGCGCAUGCCGCCUGCCGUAGAUGUGCAUUGCCGUAGGGCUACUUAGGCCAUGAGAUAAGGGGAGGGAGGAAGGAGAAGGGUGGUUGCGGUGCGCGUACGUUCUUCAAGAGGCAAAAUGGUCUUUUUCCAGGAAAUUUAACUGUAGUUGGAUGGAACGGAGUGUCAAUUUGGAAACGGAAGUUGAAACCGUGACCAAAUAAGGAACGAAAAACUUUUGAAGGUCAAGAAAAGAAUGGGUCAUUUCAUCAUCGAACAGGGAAUUCCCUCUUUAUUUUAAAAUAGUAUAUAUGCAAUGUAGCAGUGGCUAUGCAGAGGCUAGCUAUCAGUGGCUUUGAGCACGCAUGUGAUGCACGAGAAUGUCUAGUAUAUAUGCAAUGUAGCAGUGGCAUAGGCAGAGGCUAGCUAUCAGUGGCUUUGAGCACACAUGUGAUGCACGAGAAUGUCAAAGCAG